rfam:Capsicum annuum cultivar Zunla-1 chromosome 4, whole genome shotgun sequence
ACUUCAUGAUUUGGGAGUUGAGAAAGCUUACCGUUAAACAUGUUCCAAGCUUCAAAAAAUGGUUCUCCAUUCAUUUGUCAAAAAUUUAAAAUCUCAUCCUGCUUUU